GAUGAAGAACGCAGCGAAAUGCGAUAAGUAAUGUGAAUUGCAGAAUUCAGUGAAUCAUCGAAUCUUUGAACGCACAUUGCGCCCGCCAGUAUUCUGGCGGGCAUGCCUGUUCGAGCGUCAUUUCAACCAUCAAGCCCCCGGCUUGUGUUGGGGACCUGCGGCUGCCGCAGGCCCUGAAAACCAGUGGCGGGCUCGCUAGUCACUCCGAGCGUAGUAAUACAUCUCGCUCAGGGCGUGCUGCGGGUUCCGGCCGUUAAAAAGCCUUAUUUACCCAAGGUUGACCUCGGAUCAGGUAGGAAGACCCGCUGAACUUAAGCAUACAAUAAGCGGAGGA
rnacentral:misc_RNA from 1 species